rnacentral:misc_RNA from 1 species
UUUCCGUAGGUGAACCUGCGGAGGGAUCAUUCAUAAUAAGUGUUUUACUGCACUUUUUAAAAAUAGUACUCACCUUGUGUGCAAUGAUGUGUUUCUUUUCGGAGAAACACCUACACCAACCUAUAACCUUGAACCACUUUGUCUGAAAAACUAUUAUGAAUACUUAAUUCAAAAUACAACUUUCAACAACGGAUCUCUUGGCUCUC